rnacentral:ncRNA from 1 species
AUGUUCGGGGCCGCACGCGCGCUUCACUGACCGGAUCAGCGUGUGCUCUCCUUGGCCGACAGGUCCGGGAAACCCGUUGAACCCCGGUCGUGCUAGGGAUAGGGAAUUGCAAUUAUUUCCCUUGAACGAGGAAUUCCCAGUAAGCGCGAGUCAUUAGCUCGCGUUGAUUACGUCCCUGCCCUUUUACACACCGCCCGUCGCUACUACCGAUGGAAUGGUUUAGUGAGGUCCUCCGAUUGGACCCGGUCCGGGCGGCGACGUCCGAGCCGGCGUCCGAGAAGACGAUCUAACUUGAUCAUUUAGAGGAAGUAAAAGUCGUAACAAGGUUUCCGUAGGUGAACCUGCGGAAGGAUCAUUA